rnacentral:rRNA from 1 species
AGAGCGAACGCUGGCGGCAGGCUUAACACAUGCAAGUCGAGCGGGCGUAGCAAUACGUCAGCGGCAGACGGGUGAGUAACGCGUGGGAACAUACCUUUUGGUUCGGAACAACCCAGGGAAACUUGGGCUAAUACCGGAUAAGCCCUUACGGGGAAAGAUUUAUCGCCGAAAGAUUGGCCCGCGUCUGAUUAGCUAGUUGGUGAGGUAACGGCUCACCAAGGCGACGAUCAGUAGCUGGUCUGAGAGGAUGAUCAGCCACAUUGGGACUGAGACACGGCCCAAACUCCUACGGGAGGCAGCAGUGGGGAAUAUUGGACAAUGGGCGCAAGCCUGAUCCAGCCAUGCCGCGUGAGUGAUGAAGGCCCUAGGGUUGUAAAGCUCUUUUGUGCGGGAAGAUAAUGACGGUACCGCAAGAAUAAGCCCCGGCUAACUUCGCGCCAGCAGCGC